UGCCGAAACGGCUUCCUCGUGCCCCGAGGUGCCGUCCUGCCGGGCUGAGCUCCCAGCAGCUGAUGAGGCAGCUCCCU
rnacentral:hammerhead_ribozyme from 2 species